GACGAACGCUGGCGGCGUGCUUAACACAUGCAAGUCGAACGGUGAAGGGAUCAGCUUGCUGGUUCUGGAUGAGUGGCGAACGGGUGAGUAACACGUGAGUAACCUGCCCCCUUCUUCUGGAUAACCGCAUGAAAGUGUGGCUAAUACGGGAUAUUCUGGGUCUGUCGCAUGAUGGGCCCGGGAAAGAUAUUGUUUCGGUGGGGGAUGGGCUCGCGGCCUAUCAGCUUGUUGGUGGGGUGAUGGCCUACCAAGGCGGUGACGGGUAGCCGGCCUGAGAGGGUGGACGGUCACACUGGGACUGAGACACGGCCCAGACUCCUACGGGAGGCAGCAGUGGGGAAUAUUGCACAAUGGGCGCAAGCCUGAUGCAGCGACGCCGCGUGAGGGAUGGAGGCCUUCGGGUUGUAAACCUCUUUCGCCAGUGAAGCAGGCCUGCUCCUUGUGG
rnacentral:rRNA from 1 species